AACUGCGUUUCAUGUUUAAUUAGUUUCAACGAGUUUUCUCUCAUUGUCUUUUCGUUUACCAAGAAUAGUCAUUCAGAUUAUGAUUUUCCUUGCCAUUAUGGGUAUAAUCUUACCCAAACAACAUUUUUUGGUUUACUUCAUCAAAUUUGGCAAUAACCACUUCAUUGUAUGUAGAUAGCAGAAGAUGGAGUUGAAAGAUUUACUGACGUCAAGGGUAGAUUGAAUAUUGAAUGUAUGAGCUGUUUGCUUGUUAAUAAAACCAAGUCAUCAAAAUUGAAAAUCUAUGUUCGACAUUAUUUCAAAUGCUUGACAUACCAGAGUUAGCAUUUUCGUCAAAUCAGCGGACAAAAUUACAAAUUCUGAAAGCCCAGUUGUACAGAAAUUAUAAAUUCUAACUUAUUCCAUGUUAUGAAAGAUUCCAACAAGAAUACACUGUUCUGACAAAUCAUGAAAACUGAUGAUUCUGAUAAAUCCUAAUUGGUGUCAGUGUAAAGUUCUAUUAGCUCAAGGUCAUCAGAUUUGAAAUUUCAAUAGUUUUUCACUUCUCAAAAUUAAAAAUUAUUCGAAUAAAAGAUUAUCAAAAGAUCA